rnacentral:rRNA from 1 species
UACGUAGGGUGCGAGCGUUAAUCGGAAUUACUGGGCGUAAAGCGUGCGUAGGCGGUUCGUUAAGUUCGUUGUGAAAGCCCCGGGCUCAACCUGGGAAUGGCAAUGGAAACUGGCGGGCUGGAGUAUGGCAGAGGGGGGUGGAAUUCCGCGUGUAGCAGUGAAAUGCGUAGAGAUGCGGAGGAACACCGAUGGCGAAGGCAGCCCCCUGGGCCAAUACUGACGCUCAGGCACGAAAGCCAGGGGAGCGAACGGG